rnacentral:rRNA from 1 species
CUACGGGGGGCUGCAGUGGGGAAUAUUGGACAAUGGGCGCAAGCCUGAUCCAGCAAUGCCGCGUGAGUGAAGACGGCCUUAGGGUUGUAAAACUCUUUCGCUAGGGAAGAUAAUGACUGUACCUAGUAAAGAAGUCCCGGCUAACUCCGUGCCAGCAGCCGCGGUAAUACGGAGGGGACUAGCGUUGUUCGGAAUUACUGGGCGUAAAGAGUUCGUAGGCGGACUGACAAGUUAGAGGUGAAAUCCCAGGGCUCAACCCUGGAACUGCCUUUAAAACUGUCAGUCUAGAGACCGGAAGAGGUUAGGGGAAUACCUAGUGUAGAGGUGAAAUUCGUAGAUAUUAGGUGGAACACCAGUGGCGAAGGCGCCUAACUGGUCCAGUACUGACGCUGAGGAACGAAAGCGUGGGGAGCAAACAGGAUUAGAUACCCUAGUAGUC